rnacentral:misc_RNA from 1 species
GAUGAAGAACGUAGCGAAAUGCGAUAAGUAAUGCGAAUUGCAGAAUUCCAGUGAGUCAUCGAAUCUUUGAACGCACAUUGCGCCCCCUGGUAUUCCGGGGGGCAUGCCUGUCCGAGCGUCAUUACAACCCUCAAGCUCAGCUUGGUAUUGGGCCCCGCCGACCCGGCGGGCCCUAAAGUCAGUGGCGGUGCCGUCCGGCUCCGAGCGUAGUAAUUCUUCUCGCUCUGGAGGUCCGGUCGUGUGCUCGCCAGCAACCCCCAAUUUUUUUCAGGUUGACCUCGGAUCAGGUAGGGAUACCCGCUGAACUUAAGCAUAUCAAUAAGCGGAGGA